rnacentral:rRNA from 1 species
UUUCCCGGGUUGAUCCUGCCGGGACCCGACUGCUAUUUGGGUGAGGAUAAGCCAUGCGAGUUGAAUGGGAAACCUAAAAAUCCCAUGGCAAACUGCUCAGUAACACAUGAUCAACUUACCCUAUAGAGGAAAAUAACCUCGGGAAACUGAGGAUAAUGUUUCAUAGUUGAAUAGGCUUGGAAAAGUUUUUCAAUGAAAGGGAUAAGAAAAAUGGUUCUUAUUUGCCAUAGGAUAGGAUCGUGGUCGAUUAUGGUUGUUGGUGAGGUAACGGCUCACCAAGCCGAUAAUCGAUAGGGGCCGUGAGAGCGAGAGCCCCGAGAUGGGUACUGAGACAACGACCCAGGCCUUACGAGGCGCAGCAGGUGCGGAACCUCCGCAAUACACGAAAGUGUGACGGGGUUACCCAAAGUGUUCAUUAUUGAACUGUGGUAGGUGAGUAAUGUCCCCUACUAGAAAGGAGAGGGCAAGGCUGGUGCCAGCCGCCGCGGUAAAACCAGCUCUUCAAGUGGUCGGGAUGAUUAUUGGGCUUAAAGUGUCCGUAGCCGGUUUAGUAAGUUCCUGGUAAAAUCGGGUAGCUUAACUAUCCGUAUGCUAGGAAUACUGCUAUACUAGAGGGCGGGAGAGGUCUGAGGUACUAUAGGGGUAGGGGUGAAAUCCUAUAAUCCUUAUAGGACCACCAGUGGCGAAGGCGUCAGACUGGAACGCGCCUGACGGUGAGGGACGAAAGCCAGGGGAGCGAACCGGAUUAGAUACCCGGGUAGUCCUGGCCGUAAACGAUGCAUACUAGGUGAUGGUACGGCCAUGAGCCGUAUCAGUGCCGUAGGGAAACCGUUAAGUGUGCCGCCUGGGAAGUACGGUCGCAAGGCUAAAACUUAAAGGAAUUGGCGGGGGAGCACCACAAGGGGUGAAGCCUGCGGUUCAAUUGGAUUCAACGCCGGG